AUGACUGCAGGAGAUAUGGUGAAGUGGCAGUGGUUUAAAAAGAUGAGUUCAAGUGAAAACUCUUCAAAAGAAGCACCUGUUUCUGCUGUUUCUGCUGGUCCCUGGACUAAUACUUCUAAAGCGGUAAGUUGUGAUCGACCAUGGUUAAUUGAUUCUGGUGCAUCAAGACAUAUGGUGGGAUCCUAUGAGGACUUCUUAAAAUAUGCACCUAAUGUGAUGGGGCAGGAUGUGAAGUUGGCAGAUGGCUCUUCCCAAGCUAUUAUGGGAUCAGGGACUGUCAUAUGUGGACCUAAUAUGUCUCUGUCAUCUGUUUUACAUGUUUCCUCAUUCCCAAUUAACCUAUUAUCUAUCAGUUGUAUUACAAAGUAA
rnacentral:rRNA from 1 species